UUCGCCAUGUUGGCCGGGAUGGUCUCGAUCUCCUGACCUCGUUAUCCGCCUGUCUCGGCCUCUCAAAGUGCUGAGAUUACAGACGUGAGCCACCGAUCCGGGCCCUUGCACAUAUUUUCUUAUGAACACACAGGCAGCAGCACUUUGAUUACAGUAACUUAUAUGGAAGUUAUUUUAAAAUGACUUUCCCCUUCUCUUCCUCAUGUAGGCUGUAUAUUUUAUCUGCAGCACGCUUUCUCCCAAGAAUCUCAAGCACACACAGGAAGCCAGAGAAUAAAAUCACUGAGGCUUGAACACAUCCAGAGACCAAGGGCGUCACUGACAGAAAAACUUUUUGCCACCCCGCCCAGAAACUGGUUUUCAUAGUUCACAGUCUGCAGGGAUCUUAGCAAAAAUAUGGCCGUGGUAAAAGUGCCUCGACCAGCCUCAGUGAGUGGGAAGACUAGGCUGAUGAAAAGCUCUGAUGAUGUGUGUGAUUAAAAGUAGAUAAAUGUGGUUGCCACAUAAAAUAUUUUACCAUAUAGGGAGGGGCACAAUGUGGAAACCAUUUAUUUUACAUGUCUGACUGUUCCUGCAGUGUUUAAAAUAUAGGAGAUAUAUUCUGAUUAGAAAGAAACUGCUCUCAAUCUAUUUGUAUGUCUUCCCUCUAGUUUUAAAAUAUUAAACAAUCUAACUCAAUAUUUAAUUUUACCUCUAGUCAUGUUACUAGGCUGGGAUAAUAAAAAGGACUGUUGAACUUCGCAUCUGCCACCUAUAACACAUUCUUAAUGAAGCAGUCUUGCACCGGGGCUUUCUUUAUCAACUCUGCCAAAUUUCCUAAAAUUACCAAAUGGAGAAAAAAGCUGGUCCCGCCUCUCACCAGGCACAACCAGUUUGGAACCAAAACUGCAAUGUCCCCAAGACAUGCCUGUAGGUACACGAGUCCAUACUGAUAAAUGACUGAAUAAACAGGAGAGAAGAAGCAAAUCUUCAAGAAGAAUAACAUGCACAGAUACUGCUCUCUCCCGGGGUUGGAGCUUAAACCUCCUCAACCCACAGAGUAUGGAAAGGGAAACACAGGAACUUGACAGUGGAGAAACCUGGCAGACACCGUGACCAGGUGGCCAAGGUCAGCACUGCCUGGGAUAGCUGGUGUGGUGGUUACGACCACCCAGCAGGAUGUGAUGAGAAAGGUGCUUCAGAAACAUCAGACCAACUCCAAUGGAGGGACAUUCUUCAGACUGCCUGGCCAGUACUCCUCAGAACUGUCAGGGUCAUGAGAAACAAGGGAAGUCUGAGGAACUGUCACAGGCGAGAGACCGCAAAGGAGACGGGAUGACUAAAUGCAAUGUGCGCCUGGAUGGGACUCUGGGACAGAAAGCAGACAUUAGGGAAAAACUGGUGAAAUCCAAAUAAAGGCUGGAUUUUAGUUAAUGGUAACUACCAAUGUUGGUUUCUUAGUCAUGACAAAUAUUCCAUGGUAACGUAAGAGGUUAACAAUGGGGGAAACUAGGUGAGGGGCACCUAGAAGCUCUCUGUACUGCCAUUUUUCUGUAAAUCUAAAAUUAGUCCAAAAA